UGCUGGCUUAGGAAUCCCAGCACAUAUAUACUGCGCUACGCUCGAUGACAUUCCAGGCCCUCCUGCAGAUGUAAAGGUGUUUCCUCAUACAGAAGACUCGGUUAUAUUGAGCUGGUUACCGCCAAUGCAAAAGAAUGGACAAAUACUUCACUAUCGUGUGUACACUCGUCCGCAAAGGAUAGGUCGUCAGAGUGAAGUGGUGACGAUAUCCAGCAGUCAGCAGGAUCAAGACCAACAAUUGGUUGUAUCGGGACUGCAACAACAGCUGUAUGAAUUGUGGGUGUCAGCCGCAACAGCCGCAGGGGAAGGCGAUAUGAGCACCAUUGUUGCUGCUAAGCCUAGCG